rnacentral:rRNA from 1 species
UACGAAGGAUCCAAGCGUUGUCCGGAUUUACUGGGUUUAAAGGGUGCGUAGGCGGACUAUUAAGUCAGUGGUGAAAUCUUGCAGCUUAACUGUAUAAUUGCCAUUGAAACUGAUAGUCUCGAAUAUAGUUGAGGUGGUUGGAAUGUAUCAUGUAGCGGUGAAAUGCUUAGAUAUGAUACAGAACACCGAUUGCGAAGGCAGAUCACUAAACUAUUAUUGACGCUGAGGCACGAAAGCGUGGGGAUCAAACAGG